rnacentral:rRNA from 1 species
GGCGAACGCUGGCGGCGUGCUUAACACAUGCAAGUCGAACGGAAAGGCCCUGCUUUUGUGGGGUGCUCGAGUGGCGAACGGGUGAGUAACACGUGAGUAACCUGCCCUUGACUUUGGGAUAACUUCAGGAAACUGGGGCUAAUACCGGAUAGGAGCUCCUGCUGCAUGGUGGGGGUUGGAAAGUUUCGGCGGCUGGGGAUGGACUCGCGGCUUAUCAGCUUGUUGGUGGGGUAGUGGCUUACCAAGGCUUUGACGGGUAGCCGGCCUGAGAGGGUGACCGGCCACAUUGGGACUGAGAUACGGCCCAGACUCCUACGGGAGGCAGCAGUGGGGAAUAUUGCACAAUGGGCGGAAGCCUGAUGCAGCAACGCCGCGUGCGGGAUGACGGCCUUCGGGUUGUAAACCGCUUUCGCCUGUGACGAAGCGUGAGUGACGGUAAUGGGUAAAGAAGCACCGGCUAACUACGUG